rnacentral:lncRNA from 1 species
AUACCACAGAAAUUGAAAACAGAGAUAAAAGGAGACUACUGCCAAGUGACAAUCUUCUAAGAAAAACUCACAGAACUGGAAUUUGGAAGGCAAGUUAUGGUAUCUCAAACAUGUGUGAGUAAAAACAAACUAAAAAUGAGAACCUAACAAACUAGUAGUAGAACAAAAGCAGGGGAUUGAGAGUAAGCUCCGCUGUAGACUUUGCUUCACUGUAGGUGGGUUUUGCAUGAGCCGGAUCCAUCUCACCUUGAAAUGG